UGAGACUCAAGAGGGCAAAGCAAAAGAUGUACGUCUUAAAGGGACUCAUUUCUUGGAAGAAGUUUAGACAGCUUACUUCUGGAAAGCACAGUUCUUCCACAUCCACCCUUUAUGUUUUGCUUUCUUUCCAUUCAUUCAUUCUCAUCAGAAAUCACCAAACUCAGUUAGGCAUUAUGGAAAGAAAGACAAGAACCCAACCGGGGUGGAAGACUUCAAGAGUGAUCAGAGAAGGCUGUAUGGAACAGAGAUUGAAGAAAACAGAAACAAGACGUGCCAAACUGGGCAGCCUGCAGAGCCCCUCUCUGAUGCAAGACCGUGGAUGCUGUUUCCGGCUCGGUCCUGCCUGGACAGGAUUUGCUGGUGGCAAAUAAUUUCCUCUUCCUGAGCCCCGCACAAAACAUUUUAAGGAUCGAACUCCCGAUUCAACAGGUUUCUUGACAUCUAAUCACAGCCGCCUGGUUGUAUUGCUGACAGUCUAUUAACAUUCCAAAUCAGCUUAUUAGGUCUUUAUGUAUUUCUUCAGUGAAUAAAAACAAGAAUUCUAGCAGAAGUUUCUUUUUAAAUCAUAACCUGGAAACCAUCAAAGCAAUAAGGUACAAAAACCUAAAGGAUUCAUCAUCAAGUUGCUGUCAAAGGAAAAGAAAACAAAAAUUGUGGAGGUCGUUUGACAUAGCAACCACGGCUCCCCUAAUAAAAAAUAAAAUACCAUGCAUGCAGAUGCUGACCAAGACAAAGGAAAGAAAUAGUGUCUAUUAAAGAUUUUUCAGCUAAGUGGCCAUUUUCAUUUAACAAUCCUUAGCAUCAUGAUAAAAUUAAAUAAAUUUAAGUUUUCACAUCUGUAUGUACCUGUUUCCACAAAACACUUGAAAUAGUUUAAAACAAGAUAGUAUGGUAAGAGGAUCUGUCAAGAGAAAUAAUUUCUCCAGAAGGAAUUAAAGUUGCAAAAUAAAAAUUUCUCCCUAACAAUAUUGUGGAGGGUCUAUGCUCUGCUUGGAAACAUGUUGUCAACAGAAGGAUAUCUCCAAAGAACUGGACAUAGAGCACAGACCCCAGGGAAUGUUGGCGAGGGCUCCUAUGACUCCCUGCAGGAGCCGGUCACUUCUGCGGUCCAUCGGGAGAAUUGGAGCCCUACAGAUGGUGAAAGAACACUGCCUGCUUAACAGUACCUGCAUCAACUCUCCUGGACUAAGAACCCUCGCCCCCUUUUUCAAGACCAAGCCAGCCUCUGGAGUUCCUGAACAAUGCAAAGAGUCAAGCCAUAAUAAGACUAAUGUAAUAUUCUUCUGCUAACCCUGGAGAUGGAAGAAUACCAAUUUGUUCUUACCUGUUUUUUAAAAAAGUGAAAAGUAUAAUAUUUUUUACACAAUAUUGUGAUUGAUAUCUGUUUCAAUAGUAAAAUAUAAACGGACCUAGGAAAUUCAACCCAAAUAAAAAGUAGACAUAAAUAUGCCAACUCUAGUGGUCAAUAUGGCUAUCUUCGGCUCUGUGCUAUUUUGAAAUGAUCAGUCUGUUUUGAAGAGCAAGUAGGAUUUCUUUUAAAAAGAGAAGUUCCAAAGCAGGUUUAUUACUAUGACUUAACUUGAGC
ensembl:lncRNA